GACGAACGCUGGCGGCGUGCUUAACACAUGCAAGUCGAACGGAGAGGCCCUGCUUUUGUGGGGUGCUCGAGUGGCGAACGGGUGAGUAACACGUGAGUAACCUGCCCUUGACUUUGGGAUAACUUCAGGAAACUGGGGCUAAUACCGGAUAGGAGCUCCUGCUGCAUGGUGGGGGUUGGAAAGUUUCGGCGGUUGGGGAUGGACUCGCGGCUUAUCAGCUUGUUGGUGGGGUAGUGGCUUACCAAGGCUUUGACGGGUAGCCGGCCUGAGAGGGUGACCGGCCACAUUGGGACUGAGAUACGGCCCAGACUCCUACGGGAGGCAGCAGUGGGGAAUAUUGCACAAUGGGCGGAAGCCUGAUGCAGCAACGCCGCGUGCGGGAUGACGGCCUUCGGGUUGUAAACCGCUUUCGCCUGUGACGAAGCGUGAGUGACGGUAGUGGGUAAAGAAGCACCGGCUAACUACGUG
rnacentral:rRNA from 1 species